AGCAGCCGCGGUAAUUCCAGCUCCAAUAGCGUAUAUUAAAGUUGUUGCAGUUAAAAAGCUCGUAGUUGAAUUUCGGGGUUAGUAGGUUGGUCAUGCCUCUGGUAUGUACUGGUCUCACUGAUUCCUCCUUCCUGAUGAGCCGUAAUGCCAUUAAUUUGGUGUUGCGGGGAAUUUGGACUGUUACUUUGAAAAAAUUAGAGUGUUUAAAGCAAGCUAACGCUUGAAUACAUUAGCAUGGAAUAAUGAGAUAGGACGUUCGAUCCUAUUUUGUUGGUUUCUAGGAUUGACGUAAUGAUUAAUAGGGAUAGUUGGGGGCAUUAGUAUUCAAUUGUCAGAGGUGAAAUUCUUGGAUUUAUUGAAGACUAACUACUGCGAAAGCAUUUGCCAAGGAUGUUUUCAUUAAUCAAGAACGAAAGUUAGGGAUCGAAGACGAUCAGAUACCGUCGUAGUCUUAACCAUAAACUAUGACCGACUAGGGAUCGGAUGAUGUUAAUUUUUAAUGACUCAUUCGGCGCCUUAA
rnacentral:rRNA from 1 species